AUUCCAUGAUGGGGAUAUUGCUUAAAUAAAUCUUUAAAACUUUCCCAAGCAUCAAAUAAAGCUUCACCUGCCCCUUGCCUAAAAGAAAUAAUUUAUUCCUCAUUUU